rnacentral:rRNA from 1 species
AUUGAACGCUGGCGGCAGGCCUAACACAUGCAAGUCGAACGAGUGGCGGACGGGUGAGUAAUGUCUGGGCAACUGCCUGAUGGGGGGGGCUCACUAAUGGAAACGGUAGCUAAUACCGCAUACCAUCGGAUGUGCCCAGAUGGGAUUAGGUAGUAGGUGGGGUAAAGGCUCACCUAGGCGACGAUCCCUAGCUGGUCUGAUAGGAUGACCAGCCACACGGGAAUGGGGCCACGGUCCAGACUCCUACGUGAGGCAGCAGUGGGGAAUAUUGCACAAUGGGCGCAAUCCGGAUGCAGCCAUGCCGCGUGUAUGAAGCAGGCCUUCGGGUUGGAAAGUACUUUCAGCGGGGAGGCGUUACCCGCAGAAGAAGCACCGGCUAACUCCGUGCCAGCAGCCGCGGUAAUAC